GAUGAACGCUGGCGGCGUGCCUAAUACAUGCAAGUCGAGCGAACAGAUAAGGAGCUUGCUCCUUUGACGUUAGCGGCGGACGGGUGAGUAACACGUGGGUAACCUACCUAUAAGACUGGGAUAACUUCGGGAAACCGGAGCUAAUACCGGAUAACAUUUGGAACCGCAUGGUUCUAAAGUGAAAGAUGGCUUUGCUAUCACUUAUAGAUGGACCCGGGCCGUAUUAGCUAGUUGGUAAGGUAACGGCUUACCAAGGCGACGGUACGUAGCCGACCUGAGAGGGUGAUCGGCCACAGAGGAAGUGAGACACGGUCCAGGCUCUGACGGGAGGCAGCAGUAGGGAAUCUACCGCAAUGGGCGAAAGCCUGACGGAGCAACGCCGCGUGGGUGAUGAAGGGUUUCGGCUCGUAAAACUGUGUUAUUAGGGAAGAACAAAUGUGUAAGUAACGGUGCGCGUGUUGAGGGUACCUAAUCAGAAAGCCCGGGUUACUUCCGG
rnacentral:rRNA from 1 species